GACGAACGCUGGCGGCGUGGAUUAGGCAUGCAAGUCGGACGGUAGGGCUUUAUCGUAAGAUAGAGUUUGAGAGUGGCGAACGGGUGAGUAACACGUAGGAAUCUACCCUUAAGACGGGGACAACCCAGGGAAACUUGGGCUAAUACCGGAUGAGAGUGCGAGAGAUUGCAUUUAAAAGGAUGGCGAAAGUUAUCGCUUAGGGAUGAGCCUGCGGUCUAUUAGUUAGUUGGUGGGGUAAGAGCUCACCAAGGCGAUGAUAGAUAGGCGGCCUUAACGGGUGGUCGCCCACACUGGGAUUGAGAUACGGCCCAGACUCCUACGGGAGCAGCAGUCGAGAAUAGUCUACAAUGGCCGGAAGGCUGAUAGUGCGACGCCGCGUGAACGAGGGGAGCCCCUUGGGGUGUAAAGUUCUUUUCUAUACGAGCAGUGCUAUAUAUAUGGAUAGUAUAUAUAGAGGGAUAGUAGUAAUAGGAAUAAGACAACGGACUAACUCCGUGCCAGCA
rnacentral:rRNA from 1 species